rnacentral:rRNA from 1 species
CAGCCGCCGCGGUAAUACAAAGGGUGCGAGCGUUAAUCGGAUUUACUGGGCGUAAAGCGUGCGUAGGCGGCUUUUUAAGUCGGAUGUGAAAUCCCUGAGCUUAACUUAGGAAUUGCAUUCGAUACUGGGAAGCUAGAGUAUGGGAGAGGAUGGUAGAAUUCCAGGUGUAGCGGUGAAAUGCGUAGAGAUCUGGAGGAAUACCGAUGGCGAAGGCAGCCAUCUGGCCUAAUACUGACGCUGAGGUACGAAAGCAUGGGGAGCAAACAGGAUUAGAUACCCGCGUAGUCCCUGUCUCUUAUAC